GUGUGUGUGUGUGUGUGUGAAUAUUGCUGUUGUAGCCUCAUGAAAAUAGUUGGACCAUCACAUUCUACCAGUAACAAGAGUCCUAUGAUAUUGUUUAGAUUAAAUUAUAUGGGCUAGUAGACGAGAAAGAGAAUGAAUCAUGCAAGAUGGGUGAGGAAAGAUGAUCAACUCCUUCCCAAUCCUCCACUGAAAAAAGUGUCUCUUUGUUUUAUGGAUUCACGGUGGGCAUUCCAAAGUAUCUCUGGAAAAAUCAAGCUUUAUAUAUAUACACAUACAAACCUUUUUUCGUUUGUCUAUCUGUGUGAACGAGGGGGAGAUAAUCUCUUUGUUUUGUCUGUAUUUUGGUGGCUUUGGAAAUCAAAAUGGAAAGCAAAUCCUGGAAUAGGAUUGCAUUAUGUAGUUUGGUAUACACAAAAUCAACAUUUCUUUUAAAUUACACUCAAAUCAUUUGCUUUAGGUGAAAAUGAAACAUAAGUUUGAAUGGGAAUCUAGGAAUGAAAUGUUUGGAUGACAUUAACUUCCAUUUAUUUUCCAUUUCCAAAGUGAACCAAAUGGACUCUUCUUGCUCUUUAUACUUGCAUUAUCUUCAAUUUUCACAUUGGACAAAAAGGGUAAAUGAAAUGUGGCAAAAAUUUUUGAGAUAGAUACAUACCAUUCAGAUGGAACUGAGAUUUGUCUGAUCAAAGGUGUGGCGGAAUGAAGGCUUAUGUUUCUUCAGGGAAUUUCUUCUUGGAAAUGAAAAGAUUCCUUAUUAUACUUGAUCUUUUCUUUUCUUUUUGCCGUUGUGUUGACUUGGUGAGAUGAUAGCUCCCAUGCUUAAGCUUCUCAAUGUAUAAAUCACAUAUUUAAUUAAUGCUUGCUAUUUCAGGUGGCAG
rnacentral:misc_RNA from 1 species